AGGAGUUUGGAUACUGGCUCAGGAUGAACGCUGGCGGCGUGCCUAACACAUGCAAGUCGAGCGAUCUCUUCGGAGAGAGCGGCGGACGGGUGAGUAACGCGUGGGUAACCUGCCCUGUACACACGGAUAACAUACCGAAAGGUAUACUAAUACGGGAUAAYAUAUGAAAGUCGCAUGGCUUUUGUAUCAAAGCUCCGGCGGUACAGGAUGGACCCGCGUCUGAUUAGCUAGUUGGUAAGGUAAUGGCUUACCAAGGCAACGAUCAGUAGCCGACCUGAGAGGGUGAUCGGCCACACUGGAACUGAGACACGGUCCAGACUCCUACGGGAGGCAGCAGUGGGGAAUAUUGCACAAUGGGCGAAAGCCUGAUGCAGCAACGCCGCGUGAGCGAUGAAGGCCUUCGGGUCGUAAAGCUCUGUCCUCAAGGAAGAUAAUGACGGUACUUGAGGAGGAAGCCCCGGCUAACUACGUGCCAGCAGCCGCGGUAAUACGUAGGGGGCUAGCGUUAUCCGGAAUUACUGGGCGUAAAGGGUGCGUAGGUGGUUUUUUAAGUCAGAAGUGAAAGGCUACGGCUCAACCGUAGUAAGCUUUUGAAACUAGAGAACUUGAGUGCAGGAGAGGAGAGUAGAAUUCCUAGUGUAGCGGUGAAAUGCGUAGAUAUUAGGAGGAAUACCAGUAGCGAAGGCGGCUCUCUGGACUGUAACUGACACUGAGGCACGAAAGCGUGGGGAGCAAACAGGAUUAGAUACCCUGGUAGUCCACGCCGUAAACGAUGAGUACUAGGUGUCGGGGGUUACCCCCCUCGGUGCCGCAGCUAACGCAUUAAGACUCCGCCGGACGC
rnacentral:rRNA from 1 species